CCUGGGACAAUUCCAGGAAUGAUGAAAUCUGAGUUGAUGGAGGCGUCAUUCUGGGAGACAAACAAAAAAUCAGGAAAAGAUGGUACCAGCUGAGGAGCAACCCAGAAUACCAUGGAUCUAUUGUUGUGACAAAGAUUGUGUUUUGUGUUUUAUGUUUUGUCUUGUGUUGUUUGUCUUGUUGCUACCAUUGUUGUGUACUGUGUUACAAAAAAAAGAAAAUACUGCAUUAGGAAGAAAACUCUUAACAAUCAUUUUAACUGUAUUUCCAGAAACCAAUGUUGCAGAAGGGCGGAGGUCAAGAAACGCCAGCCUGUUAACAGGGAAACAUCCUGAGGUGGUAAAGGCACAUUUAAAGGCAAAAUAUGCAUGAGAUACAAGGUUAAUCUGUUGGGAGGAAUAAAAGGAUGGACAUAAAAAAAAAUUUUUAAGGCACAAAGUGAAAUUACCAAGGGAAAAAAAGGGGUUGUAAAAACAUUGGUUACUCAAAGACUAAGACUUGCCAAUUGUUACUUCUUAGUCAAUUUCCAGCAUGCAAGCCCAGCUGAAUGUACCUGGGUGUUGUAUGACACUGGAUGUAACGAAAGAAAAGCCAUUGCCACACCUUCCCUGAUUACUGUAAGGGGCAGUACAGUAAAGGCCCAGUGAAGGCAGAGCUGCCCUAAUACUAUCUCAAUGUGAACUACUGACGGUUAUUGGAGUUCCCUGGCAGCCGCGGGGGUGGGCAGCCUACAGAAAAGGCUCCCAAGAAAUGUACUGAACUGCUUUGGGUGGAACUGGAUUAGAAGUUGGAGUGCUGGAUGUUACUAACAUAGAGGUAUUGGCAAACAAACCAAGUUAUGGUCAUAAAGUAAAUCAUAAUCUUUAUGAGAAUAAAUGUUUCUGUCAUAUUGUA